CAUUUCGCGGCUCCCCAAGAAUGACUUUUCUUGUGCUCACCAAAAUAAAAAGUAAAAACGCUCCCUCUCUGCGUCGCACAAUAAAAAGAUAAAGAACGCCACAACACUACUCCUUCUCCAGUUCCCUUGUAUGCUCUUGCAGGGUAGCAGUGCAUGCGCGUCCAUGCGGUCUGGGGUUGAACCCCUUCAUACCUACGAAUUUCUCUGGAGCUUCCCGUCUUCUAAAGGUACUAAGGUUAUGCAGGAGGUCCUAGUUUCGGGCUGGGUCUGCCAAGCGGGUUUGGGGCAUUUAUGGUAUCAUGAUAAGGGAAAACACUUUUAACUCUCUCUACUCGACAAAGAAAAAUAUUCUCUCACUCUCCCCACCCGCCUCUGUUGGUUGCUCACAUCGUUUGUCUUCAUUGUUAUGCUUGUCCCUGAAUUCAUAUUUUUAAAUCAUCAUUAUCAUAUGCAUGGAAGAUAUGCCAAAAAGAAAAGAUAUGUCGCAUGUGAAACGAAGAGGCCCUUAAUUGUCUGCAUAUUGAUUCUUUCCUGGUUGUGUUUAACUUGCUAUGCAUGGAUCAUAUGCAUCUAGAUGGAUUACAUACUAAAGAACUAUGCAUAUUAAUAUAGGCUUCAUGUUCAUGUACAUGGUUUACAUUUAUGUGUGUGCAUAACUUUGGGCUCUCGGUAUCGGGUUUGGGACAAAUACAACUGAAGAUGGGAGAUCUUAAAAGUUCAUUAUCAAAAAGGUCUUAACGAUUUACCCUGAUAAUUGGGAGACACUGAAAGUGAGCUGGAGUCAAAGUAUGCAGGUCUCAGUGAUCUUUUUUUCUUCUCAUUUCACAGCUAAUAGAUUCUUUUCUAUAGGCUCUUGGUCACAUAUAUGUUCAGGUUGGGCAGAAAAGGGAAGGCAUUGGGAUUUAUGAGGAAGGCUACAAAAAUUGACCCAAAUGGUGCCCAGGCAUUUCUUGAUUUGGGAGAAUUAUUGAUUUCAUCUGAUGCUGGAGCAGCUUAAGACUGCCUAAAACCUGUAAAAAUUUCUCUGCUUAUUCUGGAGCAAGCAACUUGUCAAAUUUCUUUGACUUGACUAGGAUUCAUAUUGUUUGAGAACUAAAUUCUCCAGUUAUAACAAGUAUACUUAUGGGAGUACCUACCUAGCUUGCCCAGCAAUGAUUUGAUUUUGUGGUAAUUUGUUACUUAGAUUAGUGCAACAAAUAUAACAACUAAUUAUUGUCUCACUUGUUUUCAUAUAUGCAUGCAUGAUAAUUUUGUGGGAUGGUUCUUAGUCCUUCAUGCUUCUGUACCUUAUAUUGUGAUAUUUUACUUUAAUGAUACUAAGUUGAUAUAGUAAAAUUCAUGUCGUUUAGUUAUCUGUAUUUCAUUGCUUGCAUAUUAGCAUCAGGUUGUGAUGAUGGAUACAAGUGGAGGAAAAAGAUAAGGAAACAUGCAUGAGCUGUGUGGGGUGUAUUGCAGAUACUGAGGAAGUUGACAAUGCAUCCUCAUCUUUGUUCACAGAGAUGCUAAGAGAGCUGAAAUGCUACAUUGUAGAAUGAUGGAUUAAUGUGGUAUUGCUUGGAGUUGUGCAGAGAUGGAUUAAUGUGGUAUUGCUUGGAGUUGUGCAGAUAUAUAUAAAUUAAACAAAAGUGGUUUCAGACAAUGUAGUACUUGUUGAUGCUUUCCUUCAGAUUAUGCAGUUUGACUGUUUUUAAGACAAUUUGAUCACAUUUGUAUUUGGAACUACUAUAUAUAAUUCAAAUAUUCUUCAGACAAUUGUCAUU